UAAAUACAUGCGCUAUCGUUAUAAAAGUCCAGUCCAGUUAUUACCAUUUUGAUGUUGCAAGCUUACGCUGAGGCAGAAGCAGAGGAAUUUGACGGCAAUCCGUCUGACUUCGUCCGCCUAAUUUGAAAUUCGAGAAAGUGAUUAGAUUGAAUAUCGUCUGCAGUAAUGGCACCCGCCCGUUUGAUUCUACUGAUUCUCGUAUCGAUAAUGUUACUAUUUGCGUGUGAGGGACAGCCACUGACUUUCCCUAUAAGAAACCGGCCAAUUAAGCCGAAAUGUCCGGCAGGCUAUAGAUACGUUCGUAACGGAGGAUGCAGGAAGAUAUUAGUAAUUUAAGAAUACCUUCUUGUGCAAGAAUAUACAUACAACGUCGCAGGAUAUUCUUUCCCGGAGAUGACAUAUUGGCAACGAAAACGAUAACGCUUUCGUCUCGUAUUAUUAUAAAUACUAUUAUCAUAUCUUUUGACUUCAGUAAUAUGGAUUACGAAAGAAAUCAUUUUAACAAAAUGUAACGAUCAUUAUCCAGAAAUCCAGUAUGCUUUUGUGAUUCAUACGCACCACGUAAAUAAUCUGUAUAAAUCACUUUGAUAAAUAAUAAUAUCAGAAAAAGUAA